rfam:Camelus ferus unplaced genomic scaffold scaffold338, whole genome shotgun sequence.
GAGGGUAUAGCUCAGUGGUAGAGUGCCUAGUAUGCACGAGGUCCUGGGUUCAAUCCUCAGUACUGCCA